rnacentral:lncRNA from 1 species
AUGGCUGGUGGCUUGGAGUUUGAGCUGGACUGCAUGAUCUUCUUUAUGAUUCAGCCCAACUCCCCUUAUCUGGCUGAGUGGUCCCACCUACCGGGAAAUUUCCACAGGGAUUCAUAUGAAUUUAUCGCAACUGAACCAAGUCCUGUCAUCAUCUGCUGCAAAAGGGCUGAUCAGGUUCUGAGAGAAAAGUCUAAAUUUUCUGGAUCCAAACAAGGACCACAGGUUUGGAUAGCAAUUCUUGAUUCAUGGAGGAGGUUUCCAGCUGAAAUGUGCAGUCCUAAGGAGAAACAAAAAUAUCAAUCAUCAGUUGGAAGGAACCCUACUGUUCUUCAAUCUGGGGCACUCAGCAGCAAAGAAGCGAAGAAACUUUUUUAUUUUGCUCUGCCAAGACUGGGUUAAACGGCGUAGCAGUUGAAUCGCAGGUGAUCCUGAGCUGUCUGUUGGAGGUGAAGCCCUUUUGUAAGCAGGGCUGUAUUUUGCAAAGGCACAGGGGAUGUGCUGUAGCGGGGAUAGGUUAAAAUGCCUGGUGUGUUGUAGUGAAGACCUGAAGAAGAGAAUACUAAAGAGGAAAUAAUCAGUGUUAAGAGAAUAGCACGGGUACAGCAAGUGCCUCCUCAUCAG